rnacentral:rRNA from 1 species
UCGGGUUGUAAAACCACUUUUGUCCGGAAAGAAAACACGUGCCCUUAAUACGGUGUGUGGAUGACGGUACCGGAAGAAUAAGCACCGGCAACUACGUGCCAGCAGCCGCGGUAAUACGUAGGGUGCGAGCGUUAAUCGGAAUUACUGGGCGUAAAGCGUGCGCAGGCGGUUUGCUAAGACCGAUGUGAAAUCCCCGGGCUUAACCUGGGAACUGCAUUGGUGACUGGCAGGCUAGAGUAUGGCAGAGGGGGGUAGAAUUCCACGUGUAGCAGUGAAAUGCGUAGAGAUGUGGAGGAAUACCGAUGGCGAAGGCAGCCCCCUGGGCCAAUACUGACGCUCAUGCACGAAAGCGUGGGGAGCAAACAGGAUUAGAUACCCUGGUAGUCCACGCCCUAAACGAUGUCAACUAGUUGUUGGGGAUUCAUUUCCUUAGUAACGUAGCUAACGCGUGAAGUUGACCGCCUGGGGAGUACGGUCGCAAGAUUAAAACUCAAAGGAAUUGACGGGGACCCGCACAAGCGGUGGAUGAUGUGGAUUAAUUCGAUGCAACGCGAAAAACCUUACCUACCCUUGACAUGGACGGAAGGCCGCUG